rnacentral:lncRNA from 1 species
CCGCGUGCAGUCCGGUGGUGCUACGCAUGUAGUGCUCAGGUGAGUCGCACUACAGCUCGGUUGGGUGGGCGCCACUGUCCUCCGACGGGCAUGUGUGCAGUGCACUCAGGCGGCGGGGGGUAGCCAUCUCCUCUCACGCUUCCAGCAACAUCGGGAGGAGGAUGGUGGAGAAAUAUUCUCCCAGGUGCAAUUUGUCUGAUGUUCUUGCAUUUGUGUGCAAUUUCGGUGAUGGCAUUCAUGCCCAGGUCCAAUUUUUCAUUGUUGCUAUCCACUGACGGCGAGCAGUGCAGCUUGCUAUCGUUGCAGGUUAGUUGGGCGUCAAUGCAGUACGCAAGCACUUGAGAGGACGAUUGGCACGCACUUCAGUUUCAGCCGUGCGACGCUGCAGUAUGGAUGCACGCGGCAGGAGGUUCGUUGCUGCAGUUUGCUUGGUGUUGGCAGGAGGUUCUCCAGCUGGCCCAUGUAGUUUACCUGGUGCAGUUCGGCCAGUUGAUGGUUGCGGUUAAAAGGAAAAUUGUGUGGAGUACACUUUCUUUGGGAUGAAAAAGUAAGUGCAAAUGUGGUUCACUAAUUAUUUUCUCAGGGUUCAGUUAAUUAUAUUUUGUGUGAUGAGAGCCGCUCCAACGUUUGAUUUAGUAAACUGAACCCUGAGAAAAGUUAUACGGACUCGUUUAAAAAUUGUUUACCAAAGAAGUUCAUUUAGAAUUGUAUUGCGGCUCAUUUCUCUCGACCACGCGGUUCGCUUCUUCGCACGUGUACAACUUGCCAAUGUGGAAAUACAAAAACUCCAAACAGAAAAAAUAAAGCAGGAAAUGAAGUGCAAAGAUAUGUUAAAUGAAAAAUGGUAGAGAAACGACAAAAAAAGUAAUGCCGUUCACUUGACCAUUUGAUGCAGUGCAAAAAUGUGUUAAAUGAAAAAUGGUAGAGAAACGACAAAAAAUAGUAAUGUCAUUCACUUGACCAUUUGAUGCAGUGCGGUUUUCUAACUGAAACAGUGCGGUCGGGUGUGUGAUGUUGUUCAUCCCGUAAGUGCAAAAAAUGUUACGGAAGUAACAAAAGUAAUGCGGUUCACUUCUUGAUAGUGUUGUGGUUUAUUUACACCUGAUGUGAAGUGCACUCUAUUUUCUCGUCCUUGAAAAAAUUACGUUUGAAUAAAAGAAACUAUGCAAUUCUCUUACCCGUCCAAUGCAGCGCGGCUUUUCGUCCGAUGCAGUGCGGUUUUCAGUCGGAUGAAGUACCCACGUUGAUUUAGGUGUCGCGAAAAACAGAGUGUCCGCAUUUCGGUAAAUUUGAAAUUCCUCUUAAACCGUAAAGAAUUAUAGAGAGUGUUCUACAUGAAAAAGUUGUGUCUCGUUGAUAUCUUUCCAACAGCGUAUGAUUUCAAUUAUUCUGACCAGCCGUUCGUAAAAAUUUCGCGAAAAAACAGCCGCUGCCUCUCGAAGUCAGCCGCACGAUUUUCAAAAUUAACUAAAAUCCGUAAGGAAUCUCAAAACUAUUUCAACAUAUGAAAGUUGCACCUUGUCCGUAGCUUUCCAACAGCGUAUCAUAUGUCUCGUUUCGACAAACGGUUAGAAAACUAGAGCAAAAACAGUACCGAAAAUUUCAAAAAAAUUGAACAAACAGAGUUCCGUGAUUUAGUAAAUUUGAAACUGCUCUUAAACCGUAAUGAAUUAGAGAAAGAUUUAUAUAUGAAAAAGAUGCGCCUCGACGAUAUUUAUCCAACGGCGUAUCAUUUGCUUCAUUCCAACAAGCAGUUUAGAAAAAAACACGAAAAAUGCUCGCUGCCGCUCGUCAUCCGCCGCACUAUUUUCAAAAUUGCUCUUAAACCGUGUGGAAUCUCGAAAAGUGUUUAACAUGUCGAAGUUGCGCCUAAUCCAUAGCUUUUCAAUGAUAUAUUACACGCCUCAUUCCGAUAAACGGUUAAAAAAGUUAGAGCGAAAACAGUACCGAAAAAAUAACGUGUGCAGUUUUUUCCGACGAGAAGUUCACUAGUCUCUAUUGCAGUGCUCGUCGUCAAAAUGAUGCAGUGCGCUUCUGUUGAGCGUGCAGUGCCGAAGUGGUGUGCAGAAUAGUUAUUCUGCUAAUAUUGUAAACUUAGGGAUUGACUAUUCGUAAACUUAGGUAAGGAAUAGUUAUUCUUCACCCCCGUCUAUUUUACCAUCAAUGCAUCGUAAUUUUACGUUCCGUAAGUUUUGUCUUAUUUCCGACGUAAAAAGAGACUGUAAGAAAAUUUAUAAUCAUUAUAAAAAAUAUUUUCUAUUAUGUAAAAUUACAAACAUAAAAAUAUAGUGUAAAAUACACAUACACUGCAAAUUUUCUUGUCUUAUGAUCUAUAUUUUUAUUUUCUUAUGCCAAAUUUACAUAGUGAAUCAAUAAAAAUGUAACUAUUUGAAUUUCAAACGUAAUUUAAUUAUGAAAUUAUCGUAAGUUAUCUCGGGUGAAGAAUAACUUAUUCUGCACCCUAANNNNNNNNNNNNNNNNNNNNNNNNNNNNNNNNNNNNNNNNNNNNNNNNNNNNNNNNNNNNNNNNNNNNNNNNNNNNNNNNNNNNNNNNNNNNNNNNNNNNNNNNNNNNNNNNNNNNNNNNNNNNNNNNNNNNNNNNNNNNNNNNNNNNNNNNNNNNNNNNNNNNNNNNNNNNNNNNNNNNNNNNNNNNNNNNNNNNNNNNNNNUCUCAUAAUUAAAUUACGUUUGAAAUUUAAAUAGUUACAUUUCUAUUGAUUCACUAUGUAAAAUUUGACAUAAGAAAAUAAAAAUAUAAGUCAUAAGACAAAAAAAAUUACAGUUUAUGUGUAUUUUAAACUAUGUUUUUACAUUUGUAAUUUACAUAACAUAAAAUAUUUUUUAUGGCGAUUAUAUAUUUUCUUACGAACCCUUUUUGCAUCGGAAAUAAGACAAAACUUACAGAAUGUAAAAUUACGGUGCAUUGAUGGUAAAAUAGAGGGGGAUGAAGAAUAAUUAUUCCUCACCCAGGGUGACGAAUAGCGCGACCCUAUAUAUAUGUGUGUGUGUGUUGUGUGUGUGUGUGUGUUAAGUUGCAACAUCAUCUAUUUAUUUUGUCAUUUGUCCAGUGUGCUAGAUCAUUGCCUAGUAAUUGAACUGAAAUUGAAAUACAAACAUGGCAAUGUGCUACACCAUCUUUGCUACAUCAUUUCAUUACAUACUUGACCGUGAAACACUACUGACCAAGUGUGUGAUAUCAUUUCAUUGCACAUACAACCAUCACUACUAACAUCGGCACGAACACAAACACUAUGAUUUUACACAGCAACAACAGCUCAUCCAUCCUUUUCACAAGUUCAGUGACACCAUUGACUUGCUGCCUCUGCUGCAUCUGUACUGACUCUAUAGGUUGCACCUCCCCUGCUUGUACUCCUCUUAUGACUGCACCCGAAGCAUGAACAAAAAUUCCAAUAGAUACCAAAUACUCAACAUAAUUAUUUGGACCAUCCUGCCAAUGGUAAAACUCGCAUCCCUGAGGCCCUUUUUGCUCAUAGAAGAAAAAAUUAGGAAAAUAGAUGGAAACCAAAUUAGAUAGAACAAGUGAGAGAUUUUUCUUACCCGAUGAUUUGGACACUUGUAGAAAAUGCGACCUGGGUUCGCCUCUAAUUUGGAGACGAGGCAAAUGGUGGUCCUCCACUUGCAGUGCGGGCAGUGCACCAAUGGGAGCGGCACUGGAUAGCCUGUUCGUGGCGGAGGUGGAAGGACUAGAGGCGGAGCUUGCGCCAACUGGUUCCUACUGCGUCUCGCCGCCGACGAGCUCGCGAACGAGUUUCCAGACAUGGCACGGAGGUGGCAGUAGCAGAUAAGAUGAACUGAUGAGAGAUAGGGAUCUGAGUGGAGAAAUGACUGUGGCUAGAGAAGGCAACUACAUAAAUGCGGUCAAUUGCAAAAGAUCUCAACCGCCAACGGCGGGAAAUCUUCCGCCACACGCCCUGGGUCCAGGUGGCAACGGUCCAGACGCCCGUCUGCCAGUCAAUGCAGCCGCAGCAAGUUUGGGAUCUGGGUUGUACGCCUUGAAAAUAUUCGGGACCUAAUUCUGCACUUUUAAAGUUUUAGGACUAGAUUGACACACCUCACAUAGUUGUAGGACUUAUGAUGCAUUUUAUAAAAAAAAACUCCAGGGAGAUGCGGGACCACUAUCACUAUGCGACUCGGGCGAAGACGAUCGAACCGGAACUACGACCGGCCCCCAGUCCCCCGCACGCGCCGGCCCUGAGCCCUCCCUGAAGGCCCGAACCACCUCCGCCCCCCAGCGACCGGAGCCCAGCGGACGGCGGCCAGCGGCGAGGUGCUCAGCUCCCACCGGUCGCUCCCCCUCUAGCCCUCCCCCUCGCGCAUUAGCGUGCGCCCAUCCUUCUCCCACACGACAAGGGAGGCCGCCGCCCCUAACCCCCUCCCGCACCCGCAGGCCGCAGGCGACUAGCGACCAGGGGCUGGCGUCUGCCCCUUGCUUCUCCCCCGAAUCCACUCUCCCUCGCCUAGAGUUUGCACCAGUUGCUCCAGCCCGAGGUAUGUAGUCCAAAUUCUUCUUUUCCUACAUCGAUGGAUAAUGACUUGGAUUUGUGAGUAUGAUGAUAAUAUGUAUGUAUACCUUCAUAUUGUUCACAACAUUUCUGCAUUGAACCAUGAACUGUCAAGUGCUGCUAGUCUAUUUUAGUUGUAAGCAUACACCUCCUGUUCUUUCGAACCUGAAACCAACCUCUCCUGUAUGGACUGUAGGUGGCAAAGCUUAAGUUACUGUUAGCAUUUAGUACAUUCUUCUGUAUUUUUACUGUUCUUUACAAUUCAUAGCAUGUUUUUUACAUUUGUCAAAAAUGCAUUGUAGAUGGACAAGGAGAGGUUCAGGAGAAGAAGGUUGAUGCUUAUAAAGGCCGCUGGAUCCGUGGCUUCAUGUAUGGUCAUGCUGUAUGUCCGGCCGAGAUUACAGAGAAAGAAAGAGAGUAUUUCCUAUGGCCCAAUCGAGACAAGGGACAAGAAAAGGAUUGCCUUUCUAAAUAACCAGAUUUACAAGGAUGAUAUAACUUGCCAGACAACGCUAAGGCUCACGAGGGCUUCUUUCUUCGGGCUGUGUCAAGUUCUGAGGGAACGCUCUUUGCUCCGUGAUACUGUUCAUAUAUGUAUUGAGGAGCAAGUCGCCAUGUUCUUGAUCACAGUAGGACACAACCUUCGGAAUAGGGUUGUAAGUGCUAUUUUUAAUAGGUCAGGUGAACCGGUUAGUCGUUAUUUUGGACUAGUCCUCCAUGCUAUAGUUCAGCUAAGGGAUGAGUUUAUUAGGCCACCAUCAUUGGAGACCCCAACCAGAAUUGCUGGUGACCCAAGAUGGGACCCAUACUUCAAGGUAUGACCAUGCACAGCAAUAUAUUUUUAGCGUAGAAACUGUCUGCUUACUAAAUUUUUUGGGCGGUUCUGAUCAUGUAGGAUUGUAUUGGAGCCAUUGAUUGUACACAGAUACAGGCUUCUUCCUGUAAGAACGUGGAGACUGCCUUCCGUGGUAAGAAGUUAGUUGCAAGCCAAAAUGUGAUGGCAGCAAUUGAUUUUGACCUUCGUUUCACACAUGUGCUGGCUCGUUGGGAGGGAUCUGCACACGAUAAUGCUGUUUUAGUGGAUGCAAUAGAGUGUGAGAACGGCUUAUGUGCUCCUCAAGGUAAUAAAUUUGUUCUAUCAUGAUAUCUCCACAUAGAGUUAAUACUACUUAUUACACAAUACUACCUUAGGUGCUCAUGUGUAUUCCUGACAUGACAGGUAAAUUCUACCUAGUGGAUGCCGGAUAUGGAGCCAAACCUGGAUUUUUGCCACCUUUCCACGGCAUGAGAUAUCACUUGACUGAGUGGGGGAACAAUCAUGUGCGAGAUGCAAGGGAAUUGUUCAAUCUUAGGCACUCAUCUCUACGAGUACCUGUAGAACGUGCAUUCGCAUCACUCAAGCGAAGAUUUAAAGUUCUUGAUGAUGCAAAUCCAUUCUUUCCCUCCGCUACUCAAGUGGAUGUUGUGAUAGCUUGCGUCAUCCUCCACAACUGGGUUCUUUCCCAAGGCACUGAUUGUUUCAUUAUACCGGAGAUUAAUUGGAAACCAAAACUCCCUAGUCCUCAGAGAGAGCAAGCCCAUGACCAUAGGCACAUGGUUGAGUUCAGACAAGCCCUUGCUGACAAAAUGUGGGAAGACCAUCAAAACUAUCACCGCAAUGAUGCCGACUUCUUGAACACUCCAGCUUACUAUCACGAGAUGGCCACAAUCUUUGGUGAUGGUAUGGCUUCUGAUGUAUACACUAAGAGUGUGGAUGAGCUUCUUGCUGUAGAUGUGACCGAGAAUGAAAUUGCCAAUGGAGGAAAUGACACUUUUGGUGCUAGUGUUGAAGAGUUUACACUGCCUUUUCCUAUUCCCGAAUGGGGGAAGAAUGGUGAUUCCUCUAGCAGUAAAGCAUCGAAAAGGGCCAAGGUAAACAAUGAUGACGAGCUGAUGCAUUUGAUGACCAGCCUUGAUAACCUUGCCGAAGCUAUAGAGAAAUCUGAAUGUGUAGAUACAGAUGUCCCUGAAGAUCUUUGGGGUAACUUGAUGGAUCUCCCUGGAUUUGAAGAGGCGCAUCUUACCCAUUACUAUGCUCAUCUAGUUGAGAAUCCUGCAAUUGCUAGAGCAUUCAAUCAACUUAGCAUGUCCAACAAAAUGACAUGGGUAGCUAGAUAUAUUGAGAACCACCUUUCUGAGUAAAACCUAGUUUUAUAUUUGAACUAUGUGGUAACACUGCUUUUUGUUGCCAAAUAUAGACAACCACUAUGCGGUAUGGCGGUGCUGUGUCCAUGUGUGUUCUGUGACAGGCUAUGCUAUCUCUAUGUUUGUUGUGCUGCAACAGAACUAGGGCUGAUACUGACCUUGUAAACAUUUCAUGUGCAUGGUAGUCAGACUCCGGAUAGGACCUGAUGCUCGUUGCAAAUUAUCCUCGAUGUAUACCCCCUAUUGGUUGAUCUGAAUUUCAGCAUAUAGGACAGAUAGUGAUGCUGUGAACUGAAUUUUCAAUGCACGAGUCAGAUAAAUUCUCGUUAGUGUUUGUUUACGUAUAUACGCCUGAAUUAUCUUUGCGGUCUUCCUAUGGAAGCUUUCCCAAACCUGCGAACCACAUGCUGUAAAGCUCCUGGUUUAGUGCAGGAUACCAGAGCAUGAAAACUAUCUUCAGCUUGACAGCCACGAACUGGUGGGUUUAGUGGCCAAAGUAUAUUUCCAUACAUGUCCGCAUCGUGUAGUGUGUACACGAGACCAUCAACAUUGAGCAAAACCAACCUCUAAUAUAGGAGUAAUAUAGAUCCAAAGAAUAGCUCAUCCUAUAUACCUAAGAAGUUUACCCCCACUACCUUAUUUAUCUAGACAUGCAAGCUGUCCACAUCAGCACUUGGCCAUGUCAUCAAUUCUUCAUCAUAGCAAUGCGUCCGCAUACAGCCAUGAGACAUUCAUUCUUUGGCCCGCCAUAUCCUCCAUGCAAAAAAAAACCGGAUUACAGUCUUAUAUACUGUGCACCGAAGCCCGAUCGUCUAAAACAAAAAGAAGCCCAAAUGUUUAGCUGUCUCUUCAUGUCUUGUGGCGGAAGGUGAAACUUCAGGGAGCAACAGCCUAUCCAACUCAGCAAACCACCACAUAAGCAAAUUAAUCUUUUUUUCCUAGAUUACAUAUAUGAUAUUUCAGCUUUUUUCCCUAAGAAAUAAUGGUCUCCACGACACCCUUUGGUAUCCUCCAAGUUAUUUUCUCCACCACACGGUUGAUCUCCUCUGUUAUUAACCUCUCUUCCGGGCUCAUCGGUUCCACUCACGCCAUGAGAUCGAAACGCAUGCCAUGGUUGGGUAAGAAGUUCGUGGCUGCCGGAUUUCUGUGUUGCUGCCAACCUGAAUCCCUAUUUUGCCACCACCGUCGGCUCUGCUGCCCAAAUCCCGCGCCCAGGCGUCGAACCGGACACCCAUUGAACUAGAUGUGCUGCCGCCGGGCGCCGUCCUCCUUGAAUGUCACGUGGAUAAGAGGUUGGGACUCUCCUCCCUCUCAGUCCCGAGUCAGCUUGGUUGGAUGUUCUGAUAUUUGCUCAACUACAGACCUGCAUAUCUCUCUCUCAUGUUUGAUUAGUACAAAUUUUAUCUGUAUUCAGUUUGAACUAUUAUGAUUGUUUUGUAGGACCAGAGGAUCAGAGUAGUCCAGUUCAUUUUCAGGUACGUUGUUUUAUUCUGGCAGUAUUAUAACAUGCCAUGCUCCAACCACGAGUUCCUACAUCCCAGACCUUAAAAAUCUUCUGAACAUGUAUGUGUGCGGCAUAACUGCAGAUCUCCAUAACACCUUAUUUCAAGUCUGUAAGGCUAAUCGAGCCCAUAAUAGUAGAAUGUGGACAUCAAUUUUAAGCAGAUCGGAUUGUCGUCGUCCUUGAUGCAGCCACCCAUUGGAGGCACUGCAGUGGACUGGUGACGCAAUACUUUGCAAUCCUGGACACUGUUCGAGUUUGUUGCCAGCCGAACUCAGGCAGGUAAUCCCAAACAUUAACUAACAUGCUUUGUUCUUUGCUCUACUAUGCCUUCUGUGUAGCGUUUGAGGUCCUUCUCUUAUCAUAAGCAGAGGUGAUGUGUUCUCUUUUAAUCUUCUACGUUCUGUUAGCAUCAGGAUACAUAUAUUCUUUAUAUUUUAAUGUCAUUCUAUUUUCAUGUAUUGUAUUAAUUCUCAUUCCCUUUUCAGUUACUAUCGGGACAAUUUCCUGCCAAUAUUGCAUUAAAGUUUCAAGUUGAGAUGGAGGGCUAACUCUCUGUCCACUGAACUGUUAGAUUGCCUCACUAUUUUAUUUCCUGUUGAAACUGACCUUUCUUGCAAAUUUCUCUAAUAUUGUUAAUUUCUUGCUAAUUGUUGUCUAAUAUUUCCUUCACUAAAUGUAGUACAGGUUUAAUUACUUGGCUGUAAUAAUGUCACAACCAGAAUUGGUAUGCCUAUGUUCUUGACAUCAUGCACCUCUUCUCACACGUUGUUUCCUUUCCAGUUUUCAAUUGCCAACACUGUGCUAUGGUCAUCGACUGAAGAUAAGAAGUGAGUAUAAUGUAGGUGACUAAGAAGCAUUAUCACCUCCCAAGGCAAUCAUCGAUGCCUAUUUGAUUUGUUCUAUUUUUAUUUGCUCCUUUUGUGAGAUGUUUUGGAUGAACAGAUGAUUUCAUGCUCACUAUAUUUAGUCACUGGACAAUUGAAAGAGUAGUAAUGUUGAUAUUUCUUAAAGCAAAAUGGAAAAUAUUUGUAUUGUGUAUUGCUCGGUGUCAUGAAAUGGGUUUAAUUUAGCCGAGAGACAACACAGUUAACAAGUAUAUUCAAAUUAUCUUUUCAUUUGUCCAAUUUCCAAUUUUUUAAUUGCUACAAUUCCCGCAGCAACGGGCGGGGUGUCAUCUAGUUUAUUAAGUGCAUAUACCCUAGCAACAGAUCAUACAAAUAUGGGAGCCUUUAAAGGCGUAGGAACAAAUCGUUGCUGCAGAAAGACACUUUGGGGCUGCACAACCACGACGAACAUCGCAGGACCAACGCUUACACACACGUUACAGCAGAUAUCUGCUGCAAUCAGGCAUGCAGGGCUAAGCAUACAGCUCGGUGAUGGCCAUAAAUCCCAAAACAGGUCUUGUCUUGUGAUGGCUGAACCCCGCGUCCAUGAAAAUCUUGCGCCACUCAUGCUCGUCGCGCUCCUUGCCUCCCGUGAUCACCAUCAUCAGCAGAUCAAACGAGACCUGGGCUUCCAGCAUGGCUUUCAAAGGAGAUCCCACCACUAUGUCCACGAUUAUCACUUUCCCGCCUGAUUCGGGGAUCGCCUUCUUGCACUGCUUCAGGAUCUUCACGCAGUCCUCGUCGUUCCAGUCAUGCAUGAUGUACUGCAAUAUGAACGUUUAAAUUACGUUGGCAUAGAGCAAUCGUUCACCCCAAAACAAGAUCUGCAUUCAUGGCAACUAUAUAUCGUACCUUGAGGAAGACCGCAUCGGUCGCCGGAAUGGAGCUCAUCAUGUCGCCUGAGAUGUACUCGACCACGCCGUCGGGCGGGACGGAAUUGACCACGUUGGGGAGGUCGAGCACGGAGCACUUGACGUGCGGGAAGGCCUUGGCUAUGGCCCUCGCCGCGGAGCCUGUCCCGCCGCCGACGUCGACCAGCGAGGUCACCCCGUCGAACACGUCGCCGUAGUUGCCGAUGACGAAGUCCAUCGCGAGCUGGGUGUCGGACCCCAUGCCGGCGUUGAAGACCUGGUUCAUCUUGGGGUCGCGGUCCAUGACGCCCCACAGGUCUGCGCCGUGCGCCGUCCGGAACGGCAUCUCCGCCGCGGCCGCGCCGUCGUCGCUCGUGAACCACUCCGGCAGGUGCAUGGCCGCCUUCACGUGGUACUUGGUCGUCUGGGAGAGCACGAACGGCGAGAGGCUCCCGCACGACCCGUUGGCGCCGGAGUCGUCCACGAGGAGGCGGGACACCGGCGUGAGGCCGUAGACGGCGCCCGCCUCCUCCCCAUUCGCGCGCUCCCCUGCAGCGGGUGCGUCGGCGGUGAAGAUGCCGAACGCGCCGAGAAACCUCAUGAGGCGAGGCAGGUGCGCCUUCUUGCUCUCCGGGACGGAAACUGCGUCGAGCAAGUCCGGCAGCGUGGCGUCGCCGCCGCGGCGGUGGAUGGCGUUUGGGAGGCCGAGCUUGAUGGCGCACUCGAGCGCCAUGGAUUUGAGGUAGCCGAAGGUGAGGUCCCAGAGCUCGGUGUGCGCCUGCAGAAGCUCCUCGUUGGAGAAGGUCGCCAUGGGCACAGACUAGUGGUGGUUUUCAACUGAACUUUGUUGCAAGGUUAGGUACAUCCUUCUGUGAUGAAGCAUGGCCUGAUAUAUAGGGUCCACUGCACACGCUCACAUGAAUCAGGAGGCUCGAGGUCCCCAGGGCGAAGCAUGCAGUGCACCACUGCCUAGUGUGCCACCUGUCACCAUGCAUCGUUCCACUAGCUGCUAUGCCACGUGGACAGAGAGUGACAACAUUUGAGAAAUACAGCACUGUAACUCUGUGAGCCACCCAUUGUGGUGGUUUUUUUUUUUUGGAAAUCCCUUUUUUUUGGGUGCUACCCAUUGUGGUCGGUGGGUAACGUGGUCGAGCCGUCGAGGCCUUAGGCCCAUGGCCGCUCUUUAAAGUGUUAGUUACCCACACAAAAUAGUUAAGAAUCACGGGCCACUUUGAUUUGCACAAGAAACAGUAAAAGAUACCACCAGAUCCUCUAUUGGGCGCAUCCAUUUUGACUAGUUGGGCCGACCCAUUUCACAUGAGCGAGUUACCUUCUGGCCGGUUUAGAGAAGCUUUUUGAUCGGAUUUUUCCUGGUUUUUUGCUCUUUGUUUUUAUGUUUGAUUUUUGCCUUUUUCUGUUCUGUUCCUUAUCUUUCUUAUUAUUUAUUUUUUUCAUUUAUCCUUAUUUUUACUCAGGAAAAUUCAAAUGUGUGAAUCUUUUCCAAUUUGAUUUUUUUCUUAAAAUUCUAUGAAGUUUGUUUUGAAUUCCUGAACUUUUCAAAUGCAUGAACUUUUUCAAAUCCAUGAACUAUUUUAGUUUUUUCACAACCUAUUCAAGUGAUUUUUCUUUUAAAAAAACGCGAAUUUGUUUUAACAUCGAUGAAACACUUUUCCAAAAUGGAUGUGCAUUUUUCAAACCCGUGAAACUUUUUCACAAAUCCAUGAUUUUUUUACAAAUCGAUGAUUUUUUUCAUAUCUGUGAACAUUUCUAAAAAUCAAACGAACUUUUUUCAAAUACACGACUUUCUCGAAUUCAUUAACUUAUUUUCAAUAUUCAUUAACUUUUUUGAAUUUGUGGACCUUCUUAAAAUUUGUAAUUUUUUUGAAUGCCUUUAAUUUUUUUUGUUUUUUUUUUGAAUUUCUGGCAGCCGAUCGACAGUCAAUGGUUGAUCCGUCAAGCGAGCGGUAAGCGCCGGUUCGCUUUGCGGCGCUUAAAGCACUGAACAGGAGAUCCUGUAAAAAUGUGAUCCCACAAACCUUUUUCAGGGCCAAAAUAUAUAGAUACGGUAAUCUCAAGCUGCCUAAGAAUUUGCCCAAAAAAACACUGCCCCAAACAAAACCCUGUUACACAUGGACACAAAUUUUGUUACACGUUUUUAACAACUUUUUUAAGUGAUAUUUUUAAAAUCUGCGAUUUUUUUCCAAAUCGAUGAACUUUUUUCCAUGAAGUUUUUCACAAAAUCCAUGAUUUUUGUAAAAUUGAUGAAAUGUUUUCAUAUCCAUGAACAUUUUUUAAAAUUGAAUGAACUUUUUCAAAUACGCGGCUUUCGCUAAUUCUUGAACUUAUUUUCAAAGUUAAGUGAACUUUUCAAAUCUGUGAAGUUUUUUUGAUUCGUGAACUUUUUUAGAUUUUCUGAUUUUUUUUUUGGAAGUCAACUAGCAGUCAAUCGGCAAUCAAUGGUUGACCCAUCAAGCGAGCGCAUAAACGGUGGUUCGCUCUGUGGUGCUUAAAGCGCCGAACAGGUGCUCCCGUAAAAAAUGCGAUCGUACAAAACUUUUUCAAACUCCAAAAAAAUAGGUACGGUAAUCUCAAGCUGCCUAAGACUUUGCCAAAAAAAAAGGAACAACCCCAAACAAAACCUUGUUACACAUGGACACUGAGCCCUGUAAAGCAACGCAUCCAGCUACUGGUGGGAUGCAGGUGAGAAGUACAACAAAAUGGACAGUGCGGAGCCCCGGGGUGGCGAAGAUACAAGUUGACGAAGGUCUUGCAAGAAAUGGUAAUAGUGGCGCAUCCGCUACAGUUUGCCGUGAUCACACAGUCCUCUUCUUGGGUUCAUCAGCUAUGGUAUUUACCGACAUUUUAGACCCGACAACAUUGGAGGCACUCGCUUGCCGUGAAGCUCUAGCGCUUGCGCUUGACUUGUCCCUCGACAAAGUUGUUAUUGCGUCUGAUAAUAAAUCAGUGGUGGCGGAGAUAAAGAAUGAAACUGAAGGAAGGUAUAGUGCAAUCGCUCGGGCACAUAACUCACAAGCUAUGAUUUCAUUUUUGAAAGUCAUACUAUAAAUGUUGAUGCACACAAUUUAGCUAAAUUUUCUACUCGUCAUUUAUGGCUGGGUUUACCCAAUGAUCAGUUUGUUAUUCCUGUAAACCGAGCUGCUAUUUCGCAAUAAAGUUUUGAUUUACCACUAAAAAACAUGGACACUUCUUUUGCCAUGGCCGGUUACAACUUUCGCCAUCACCGGUUGCAGCUUUCACCGUCAUCAGCUUGUGUCGUCUUGAUGGAACCUUUUUUUGUCGUUGGCAGAAUUUUUUUCCAUCACCAUCUGCAACUUUCGCGAGUUGCAUAGUGGCUCGUCGCAGCUUUCGUCAUCAUUGGUUGUGGCUUUCUCAAGCAUCGGCUGCAGCUUCCACAGAUGCGCGAUGGCCGCCUCCAUCUUCCAUCGCCCCUUCGGCUGAAGCUUUUUUUGUCACGAGUUGUAGCUUUCCCAGUUGUCGGUUGCAACACACUCGACUAGCCACUGUGCCAAUAGCACCUCGCUCCAACAUUGUCGGUCACCGGUUGUACCACUUGUGUAUGUCGUCUCCAUCUCCGGCACAUGUUGGUUGUAGCACCCAACAACGGGUGGCAUUGGUUGUUGCAUCCCAUGGAAACCGCCUUCACAGAUCACGUGGCCCAUGGCCCCAUCAAGUGUAGCUCAUUGUGCGCGUCGCGGGGGUGGCGCGGACGGGCUCAUGGCAUCUCCGUGGGGAGGGGGGUAGAUGACGAGGAGGCCGGCGGGGUAGAGCAUGGCCAAGAAAUUGACGCCCUGCGCAGGAUGAGCGAUGGUGAGGGAGAUAAGGUGGGAUCAACGCAUUGAGAAAACAAGUGAAGGAGAAGAGGGCUAAGUAAAGUGUGUGCCCAGAAAGAACAUGUGGGCACUGGAUCUAACUCGAUCAGACGGUUGACGUGCGCCUGGCGCGAGCGCCUGGCUGGUCGGUCGGUGGGGAUCGUUUUUCUUUUGCUAAUCAGUUUUUUUUAUGGGGUUAGGUAUAGAUAGGUCUCGGUUGGCCGAGACUUAACCAAGUCUCAAUUAAAUGAGAUAACAUGUAAAAAAAUCUGAAAAAUUUGCAUGGAUCUCAAAUCUCAUUCACUUGAAACUACAUAUCAAUACUAACAUAGUUGAUGUAGCACCAUAGCCAUGGUCAACAUAGAACCGUUGUAUGAAAAACGUAAACACUGAAAUUUUCAUUCUAUACGUGCAAGCUGGUACCUUGAUAUGUACAAUCAACGUAGUCACGAGACAAGAGACGAACACCACGUCUUAAGCUAUAAUAAUUAGCGAGAAGAACGAUCCAUUGAUGGAACGUGUAGGCUAUAUACAUAACCAUGCUCAUGGUCACCUUCGCACGCAUCUGCCUGUCGUCGUGGACGUACAUCGAUCCUAGCGGCGCUAAGGGUGUAUCCCGUCGCUCGGGCCGGACGGCGGCAACGGCCGCCGCGACUUAAGGACAACGCCGCCCGUCUUCCGCGGCCACCGAUCUGCGCCUCCGUGGCCGGACGCAAUCUCCGACGUCCGUCCUGGCACGUUCACGCCCAUCGCUACCGCAGUAACAUCGCUACCGCAGUAACGGACACAGUGUGGCCCUGGUGACGGUGAUCAUCAGUCGCCACCCCUGCCGUCGUCUGCAGCGACGACGCAGCCGCGAACCCUAUGACGAGCCCCAUAAACACCAUUGUCACCAGAAGAGGAACGAGGAUCCGUGCACAAAUCUGCAGCCAUGAUGCUGCAGGAGGAGGACGAGGCAUGGUUGCAAGAGACAAGGGACAGCUGAUACGCGCUGUCGGUCUGUUGGUGAUAAUGGACUCGUCUUAUGGUGAGAGCUGUCAGCCCUUAUCUCUUGCAGGUACUCCGUAUUUAUUUGACCUUGGUGAUAUUGGAGUACGUUUCAUUGUGUAUGAAUUUGGACGUGAUUCUGAUUUGGUUUUCAAACAGGCGAGCGGAGUCCCGGAUAAUGUAGGCGUGCCUGUGCCAAUUGGCUGGCAUAUAGGUGUCCCCUGCCGUAACCGUGUGAAACAAAGAAGUUUAGGCAAUGUAAAAUCGUAUACAUUUUUUUUUCGGGGUGUAUAAACACUUUUUUUGCCCCCACGUCCUGCGGCGCUAUUGCGGGUGUCCAUGAGGCCAACCCUAGCUUCGCUGACGGGGCUCCCCCCUCCCCCCCUCCCUCGCCGCCGUUAGAGGGCGCGACCGGCCAUGUCGGCGUCGGCAGGGAGUCUUCGUCUCCUCGUGCGGGGUCCUUGGCGCGUGCCGAGGUGACUGCGCCUUGGAUGUUGUGCUGGGCAUCGGGCGUUGCAGCACGGCGACACACGGGCAUGCUUGACGACGGUGUCAUGGCAGUCGUAUGGCAGGCGGUGAGGUGGGGGAGCUCGAGCGGUGGUCAAUGAUGGCGGUCGUGACUGUUGUGCCAUCGGCUUGACCAGAUCUGGCUCCCGCGUGGUGCGGGCAGAGGGCGGCGUUGGUUGCGGGCGUCCACCUCUGUCGCGGUAUUCUGCUCGUGGAGGUGAAGGCACAACAGGUCAACAGCGAUGUUGGACCUCUCCCUCCUCUGCUUUUGCGAUCCGAGUGUUGUGGCUGGAGGCAAAUCCGGAUGGAUAGUGGUUGCGGCUCAACGAUCGGUGUGUCAUUGGGUGGCUGGAGGUGGCAGGGGCGUUUUGGGAAGGAAGGCAGGGGCCUCCCGUCUUUGCCGCCGCCAAGAUCUGAAGGAGCCAGAUUGGUCAUGUCGGCGUCCCAAGUCCUAGGUGGAGACGUGAGGUGGCUACGCCGUGGCCGGCUGCUGCCGGCGACCUAAGGACUCGUUUUGAGGCAGAAGGUGUUGGAAAUAUGUCAUAGAGACAAUAAUAUUGGUAUUAUUAUAUUUUCAUAUUAAUAAUUAAAGAGCUUUUAUAUUUUACGCUAUAACUACUAUUAUCCUAGAAUAUGCGAUUCAAUGGAAAACUCAUAUGCACGUAUGAAAUGAUAAACGUUUAAAUAAAAGGUUCCUGGUCUAGCCUGUAGGACUAGCUCAAGUGUCGUUGAUUAUCAUGUUUUCUAGAUCUUAUAAUAUCAUUAAGUGUAAAUGAUAAUCCUAAAACAACAUUGAGAUUAUGCCGUUUGAAGAACGAUCCUAUUAAAUUGACCAUAACUUGUCUGUUGUGAAUUGAAUUUACAUCGUCUAUAAUCAAUUGUAAUAACAGGGAGUGUUAACGUGUGAUUUUUCCCCUUAGACCAUGACAAUAUCGUACUAACUUCUGAUACGUCUCCAAUGUAUCUAUAGUUUUUUUAUUGUCCCAUGCUAUUAUAUUAUGUAUUUUGGAUGUUUUAUAUGCAUUAAUAUGUUAUUUUAUAUUAUUUUUGGGACUAACUUAUUAACGCAGAGCCUGGUGUCAGUUUCUGUUUUUUCUUUGUUUUUGAGUUUUACAGAAAAGAAAUAUCAAACGGAGUCCAAACGAAAUAAAACUUUACGAUGAUUUUUCUUGAACCAAAAGACACCUAAGUGACUUGGAGAGAGGGCCAGAAGAGUCCUGAGGAGGCCACAAGCCUCUAGGGCGCGCCCUGAGGGCUUAUGGGCCCCUCGGGAGUCCUCCAACCCUAAUUCCACCUCUAUAUAUAUACGCCCUCGAUGCGGCUAUAUCUCUCACGUGUCGAAGCACGACUUAGAGGCAUAACCGCAUUGAAAGCAAUGUCGCAAGUGAGAUAAUCUUCACACAACCUGCGAACCACAUGCUGUAAAGCUCCUGGUUUAGUGCAGGAUACCAGAGCAUGAAAACUAUCUUCAGCUUGACAGCCACGAACUGGUGGGUUUAGUGGCCAAAGUAUAUUUCCAUACAUGUCCGCAUCGUGUAGUGUGUACACGAGACCAUCAACAUUGAGCAAAACCAACCUCUAAUAUAGGAGUAAUAUAGAUCCAAAGAAUAGCUCAUCCUAUAUACCUAAGAAGUUUACCCCCACUACCUUAUUUAUCUAGACAUGCAAGCUGUCCACAUCAGCACUUGGCCAUGUCAUCAAUUCUUCAUCAUAGCAAUGCGUCCGCAUACAGCCAUGAGACAUUCAUUCUUUGGCCCGCCAUAUCCUCCAUGCAAAAAAAACCGGAUUACAGUCUUAUAUACUGUGCACCGAAGCCCGAUCGUCUAAAACAAAAAGAAGCCCAAAUGUUUAGCUGUCUCUUCAUGUCUUGUGGCGGAAGGUGAAACUUCAGGGAGCAACAGCCUAUCCAACUCAGCAAACCACCACAUAAGCAAAUUAAUCUUUUUUUCCUAGAUUACAUAUAUGAUAUUUCAGCUUUUUUCCCUAAGAAAUAAUGGUCUCCACGACACCCUUUGGUAUCCUCCAAGUUAUUUUCUCCACCACACGGUUGAUCUCCUCUGUUAUUAACCUCUCUUCCGGGCUCAUCGGUUCCACUCACGCCAUGAGAUCGAAACGCAUGCCAUGGUUGGGUAAGAAGUUCGUGGCUGCCGGAUUUCUGUGUUGCUGCCAACCUGAAUCCCUAUUUUGCCACCACCGUCGGCUCUGCUGCCCAAAUCCCGUGCCCAGGCGUCGAACCGGACACCCAUUGAACUAGAUGUGCUGCCGCCGGGCGCCGUCCUCCUUGAAUGUCACGUGGAUAAGGAGUAAUUGACAAAAAACUACCACAUUUCACGUAUCCGUCCCACAGAACUACCACAUUUUGAAAACUGACCAAAAACUCCAGAUUAGUGAUAAUUUCGUGACAAAAAACUUCCAGGUUGAGUUGAUGACCUUUUUUAUGAUUUUAAACCUGUUUAUGACAUGCGGGACCCGCGUGUCAGAGCUGACGUGGCUGAAAAGUUAACUCCGUUUAUUUCAACAGAUAGAUUAACCGUUAUUACAGGUAGGUCCCACAUGUCAGCAUCUACCUUCUUCUUCCUCAUCCUCUUUCUCUCUUAAGCAUUUCAACGAACACUUGGUGUCCGUACCCGCGUGGUGAAACAGAGCAUGGGCACGCUGUCGAGGACGCAGAGCUCGCCCUACCGCGUUGCCGGUGGCCUUGUCUGCAAGCUCGUGGCGUUGGCCGCCGCGAGCCUGGUCGCAAACCCCAGCCUCAGGCAGCUCGCCAGCGUCUCCUCCCUGCCCUCCAUCUCCCCCCGCAGCGCCGCGUCGGCCAGCAAGAGCGCCUGCUGCCCCUUGUCCUCCCCCGCCGCCCACUGGCAGAGCUCCACGCUCGUCAGCGCUCGCUCGGCCACUAGCUCCAGCAGCACCAUGGCGAACUAGUACACGUCCCACUUGGUGCUCGGCUUCGUCGUGGUCUUCGCCGCCUCGGUGCCCGGUAAUGUGCGGCCGCCUCGGCGCAGGAGGAAGGCCCGACACCGGCCAAUGAGCUCGCCCCUCCUCCUGCUCCGGGCGGCGGCGGCGACAGGUCGGCAGGCUCUUGUCGUGGAGGUAUGCCAGGCCUCUCGCCAUGCCGCGCGCGAUGCGCAGCCGCACGCUCCACCUGAGGUUCAUCGGCGGCGUCCCCGGGUCCAGCAGCGGACAGGGCGUGACACCGGAGCUGGACGCGUUGUGGACGCUGGCCGUCGAGAAGAGGACGAGGAGGAGGAGCGCGCGGAGCAUAGGACAGGAGGUGCUCGUGGGCGGCGCGGGCGAGCAUUGGCCUGAGGGCGUCGGAGCCGGCUUCUUUAGCGCGGAGGAGGAGGUCUUUGGCAUGGACGGACCACUCCGGCAACGGGCUGGGUGGAUGCGAUGGCGGAGGAGCGGCGACGCCCUGCCCGACCGCAUGCGUGCUCGAAUGAUGCACAUGAAGUGUUUGUUAAAAUGUCAGAGAGGGAAAGAGGAGGAAGAAGAAGAAUGACAUAUGGGCCCCACCCGCCAUAACGGUCAACAUGGCAGUCAAAAUAAACCGAGUUGGUGAUUUCCGCCACGUCAGCCUGACAAACGGGCCCCUCCUGUCAUAAACGUGUUUAAACCGUCUAAAAUAGCUAUUUUACGAAAGUGGUAGUUUUUUGUCAUGAAAUUAUCACUAAUCUGAAGUUUUUGGUCAGUUUUCAAAAUGUGGUAGUUCUGUGGGACGGAUACGUGAAAUGUGGUAGUUUUUUGUCAAUUACUCCGUGGAUAAGAGGUUGGGACUCUCCUCCCUCUCAGUCCCGAGUCAGCUUGGUUGGAUGUUCUGAUAUUUGCUCAACUACAGACCUGCAUAUCUCUCUCUCAUGUUUUUUUUGCGGGAAUCUCUCUCUCAUGUUUGAUUAGUACAAAUUUUAUCUGUAUUCAGUUUGACUAUUAUGAUUGUUUUGUAGGACCAGAGGAUCAGAGUAGUCCAGUUCAUUUUCAGGUACGUUGUUUUUUUCUGGCAGUAUUAUAACAUGCCAUGCUCCAACCACGAGUUUCUACAUCCCAGACCUUAAAAAUCUUCUGAACAUGUAUGUGUGCGGCAUAACUGCAGAUCUCCAUAACACCUUAUUUCAAGUCUGUAAGGCUAAUCGAGCCCAUAAUAGUAGAAUGUGGACAUCAAUUUUAAGCAGAUCGGAUUGUCGUCGUCCUUGAUGCAGCCACCCAUUGGAGGCACUGCAGUGGACUGGUGACGCAAUACUUUGCAAUCCUGGACACUGUUCGAGUUUGUUGCCAGCCGAACUCAGGCAGGUAAUCCCAAACAUUAACUAACAUGCUUUGUUCUUUGCUCUACUAUGCCUUCUGUGUAGCAAGCACUAGCAUGUAUGGUGGCUAACAUACGCAAAUGAGAGCGAGAAGAGAAGGCAAAGCACGUUCGAUAAUCUAUGAUCGAGAAGUGAUCCUAGAACAAUCUACGUCAAGCAUAACUCCAACACCGUGUUCACUCCCCAAACUCCGCCAGGAAGAGACCUUCACGGUUACACACGCGGUUGAUGUAUUUUAAUUAAGUCAAGCUUCAUGUUUUCUACAACCAGACAUUAACAAAUUCCCAUCUGCCCAUAACCGCGGGCACGGCUUUCGAAAGUUCAAAACCCUGCAGGGGUGUCCCAACUUAGCCCAUCACAAGCUCUCACGGUCAACGAAGGAUAUUCCUUCUCCCAAGACAAUCCGAUCAGACUCGGAAUCCCGGUUACAAGACAUCUCGACAAUGGUAAAACUAAACCAGCAAAGCCACCCGAUGUGCCGACAAAUCCCGAGAGGAGUCGCACGUACCUCGUUCUCAGGGCAACACUGGAUGAGACUAGCUACGAGUAAAACCAGCCCUCAAGUUUCCCCGAGGUGGCCCCGCAGGCAGCUCAGUUCGGACCAACACUUAGAGAAGCACUGGCCCGGGGGGGUUAAAAUAAAGAUGACCCUUGAGUCUGCAGAACCCAAGGGAAGGUGGUAGGUUGUUAGUGCAAAUGGUAAAACCAAGGUUGGGCCUUGCUGGAGUAGUUUUAUUCAAAGCGAACUGUCAAGGGGUUCCCAUUAUAAACCAACCGUGUAAGGAACGCAAAAUCAAGGAACAUAACACCGGUAUGACGGAAACUAGGGCGGCAAGAGUGAAACAAAACACCAGGCAUAAGACCGAGCCUCCCACCCUUUACCAAGUAUAUAGAUGCAUUGAUUAAAUAAGAGGUAUUGUGAUAUCCCAACAAAUAUUCAUGUUCCAAACAUGGAACAAGCUUCAUCUUCACCUGCAACUAUCAACGCUAUAAGAGGGGUGAGCAAAGCGGUAACAUAGCCAAACAACGGUUUGCUAGGACAAGUUGGGUUAGAGGUUUGACAUGGUAAUACGGGAGGCAUGAUAAGCAAGUGGUGGGUAUCAUAGCAUAGGCAUAGCAAUAGAGCGAGCAUCUAGCAAGCAAAGAUAGAAGUGAUUUCGAGGGUAUGGUCAUCUUGCCUGAGAUCCUGCAAGGAAGAAGAACGAGUCCAUGAGGAAGACAAACGGACGUAGACGAACGGAUCCUCACAAAUGCGAUGUUAUCGGAACCAACCCGAAGAAGCGACAUCGGGAAGAAGCACACAACAUAGCGAACAAACAUCACAUAAGCAUGGCACAAUGCGCAAACAAGUAUGAUGCAUGUCUGGUUUAAUGAGGCAUGACAUGGCAAAGUGCACAAACAAUCCUACGUUGUGGAGGCAGACAGAGGAGGCAAGACACGGGACGGCUUGCGGCAGGGCCGGCAGGCGCGAGAAGCGGCUAGUCGCCGACGCGGUGCAGCAGCAGCGGGAAAGGCGCAGCAAGGCACUCCGGCGAAGAACGGGCAGACGGCGGAGCUGCGGUUCCAUGGAGGCAAUGUUGACCUGCAGCUCGAAGCAAAAGAAGCAGCGCUGGAACGGGGGAACGGCGGCGCCCUCUGUCAGAUGAGGACGACGGACGGACCAGGGACAAGGCAAGGCACAGAUCCGGCAAGGCGGCUCCAUUCCCGGCGGCAUCCGGCGGAUCUGGCGAAGUGGUGGCCGUGCUCCUUCAGGAAGCCUCCAAGGCGGUGCUGCAUUGAAGACAGAGAGAGAUCAUGAGGGAAGGGGAGAGAGGGCUUCAGCGAAAAGGGAACGGGGAGAGGAAGUAGAGGCACGACCUGGUGGUCGAGGACGCUAGCGGCGGUGUGCUCCGGCGAGGGACUUCCGGCGAGGAGGGAUCGGGCAGCAGGCGCUGGUAGGAGGCGGUGUGGUGAUCCAGGAGGUGCUCGGUGGUUGGUGCGAUGGGGAAAGCGAGGAGAAGGCAGGUGGCUUGGCUGCGCUGGGAUCCCGAGGAAGAUUUGGAAAGUGGCGGCGUGAGGGGGAAGGAUGGGACGGCUCUCCUUGAUUUUAGGGUUGGACUGAUACAUAUAUAGCAAAAGGAUUUUUGGGUAGGGGCUAAUCCGUCCCUCCGAUCGUAAUUGGACGCUCAGGAAAAAUAGGCUAGGGAUCCCAAAUAAGAAAACGGAGACGUUUUGUAGAUGUUUGGGGAUGAUCCGGACACAACGGUGGCGACAGUCCGGGUCGGGUUCGGGACAACUUUCGGACGCGCGCGAGGGGCCGAUGCACUAUGCAAAGAGGGCUAGGCAUGGGCCUAGGUGGACUGUGGAGAGGCUGAGAGGAGAGGAGAGAGAGAGAGAGAGAGAGAAAGAGAGAGAGAGAGAGAGAGAGAGAGAGAGAGGGAGAGAGAGAGAGAGAGGGCCCGACGGCAGUUUCCGGAGACCGAAAACAUCCGACGAUAGACCGGCUAUACUGCCGCUAUAGUUUAACGGUUAGGAUAUCAAACGAACUCCGAAUGCGAUGAAACUUGACAGGCGGUCUAUCUACACUAUAAUAAUACCACACGCCAACUUUCAACCCAAUCUGAGAACAUUUUCCAGCUACCUAUAAAAUAAUAUUUCGGACGUGUCGUGGGCGCGUUCGAGUGUGUCUGGGGGCAGAACGGACAACAGACGGUACUGGGGGAACCCGGGCGAAUGCAAGUUUCGAAAACAUGAUGAUGCAAUGCACAUGAUGACAUGACAAGAUGCGACAUGCAAGCAAAUGGCAUGGCAAUGACAGCGAAUAAGUGGAAGACACCUGGCGCAACAGUCUCGGGGCGUCACACAAAUACUCCCCCAACAUUAGAAGCAUCCACAAAAAUACUUUUCCUCCACCGCAAGCCUCUGUUCCCGUGAGAUGCCAUCUUGGAGUCUAUUCCGGCACCCUGCCGGAGGGGGAUUCGAUCACGGAGGGCAUGUACAUCAACCUUGCUACCCUUCGAUGAAGCGUUAGUAGUUUAUCACGGACCUAAGGAUCCAUAGCUAGUAGCUAGAUGGCUUCUUUUCUCUCUUUCAUCUUCAAUACAAUGUUCUCCUUGAUGUUCUUAGAGUUCUAUCCGAUGUAAUAUUCUUUUGCGGUGUGUUUGUUCAGAUCCGAUGAAUUGUGGAUUUAUGAUCUGAUUAUCUAUUAAUAUUAUUUGAGUCUUCUCAGAACUCUUUUAUGCAUGAUUAAGAUAUCUUUGUAUUUCUCUUCGAACUAUCGGUUUGGUUUGGCCAACUAGAUUGGUUUUUCUUACAAUGAGAGAGGUGCUUAGUUUUGGGUUCAAUCUUGUGGUGUCCUCACCUAGUGAUAGAAGGGGUAGCGAGGCACGUAUUGCAUGGUUGCCAUCAAGGAUAAAAGGAUGGGGUUUAUACCAUAUUGCUUGAGUUUACCCCUCUACAUCAUGUCAUGUUACCGAAGGAGAAAUGCCCUAGAGGCAAUAAUAAAGUUCUUAUUUAUUUCCUUAUUUCAUGAUACAUGUUUAUUAUUCAUGCUAGAAUUUUAUUAACCGGAAACAUAAUACAUGUGUGAAUACAUAGACAAACAUAGUGUCACUAGUAUGCCUCUACUUGACUAGCUCGUUAAUCAAAGAUGGUUAAGUUUCCUAACCAUAGACAUGAGUUGUCAUUUGAUUAACGAUAUCACAUCAUUAGGAGAAUGAUGUGAUUGACUUGACCCAUUCCGUUAGCUUAGCACUUGAUCGUUUGGUAUGUUGUUAUUGCUUUCUUCAUGACAUAUACAUGUUCCUAUGACUAUGAGAUUAUGCAACUCCCGUUUACCGGAGGAACACUUUGGGUGCUACCAAACGUCACAACGUAACUGGGUGAUUAUAAAGGUGCUCUACAUGUGUCUCCGAAGGUACUUGUUGAGUUGGCGUAUUUCGAGAUUAGGAUUUGUCACUCCGAUUGUCGGAGAGGUAUCUCUGGGCCCACUCAGGAAUGCACAUCACUAUAAGCCUUGCAAGCAUUGUAACUAAUGAGUUAGUUGCGGGAUGAUGUAUUAUGGAACGAGUAAAGAGACUUUCCGGUAACGAGAUUGAACUAGGUAUUGAGAUACCGAUGAUCGAAUCUCGGGCAAGUAACACACCGAUGACAAAGGGGACAACGUAUGCUGUUAUGCGGUUCGACCUGUAAAGAUCUUUGUAGAAUAUGUAGGAGCCAAUAUGGGCAUCCAAGUUCCGCUAUUGGUUAUUGACCAGAGAAGUGUCUCGGUCAUCUCUACAUAGUUAUCGAACCCAUAGGGUCCGCACGCUUAAUGUUCGUUGAUGAUAUAGUAUUUAUGAGUUAUAUAUGUUGGUAACUGAAUGUUGUUCGGAGUUCUGGAUAAGAUCACGGACAUGACGAGGAACUCCGGAAUGGUCCGGAGAUAAAGUUUUAUAUGUGGGAUAAUAGUGUUUGGUCUUCGGAAGGGUUCCGGAAUUCACCAUAAGGGGUUCCAGAUGUUUCCCGAAAUGUUUGGGUACGAGAACACUUUAUUUGGGCCAAAGGGGAAAGCCCGCAAGGUUUUUGGAAAGCGCAAAAGUAAGUUUUGUGGAGUCCUGGGGCCAGACGCCAGGGUCCCUGGCGUCUGGGUCCAGAAGUCGGGAACCCUGGCGUCUGGCCCUGGAGUCUGAGACGGACUCUUGCCUUUCGGGUGAAACCGACUUUGUGGAGGCUUUUACACCAAGUUUCGACCCCAAGGCUCAACAUAUAAAUUGCGGGGUAGAGCUAGCACCCAUGACACAUCAAGAAACACCAAGCCGUGUGCCGGCAACCCAGUCCCCUCCAGUUUAUCAUCCGUCAUAGUUUUCGUAGUGCUUAGGCGAAGCCCUGCCAAGAUUGUUCUUCACCAACACCGUCACCACGCCAUCAUGCUGCCGGAACUCAUCUACUAAUUCGCCCCUCUUGCUGGAUCAAGAAGGCGAGGACGUCAUCGAGCUGAACAUGUGCAGAACUCGGAGGUGCCGUGCGUUCGGUACUUGGAUCGGUCGGAUCGUGAAGAUGUACGACUACAUCAACCGUGUUGUGCUAACGCUUUCGCAUUUGGUCUACAAGGGCACAUAGACACACUCUCCCCUCUCGUUGCUAUUCAUCACCAUGAUCCUGUGUGUGCGUAGAAUUUUUUUGAAAUUACUACGUUCCCCAACAGUGGCAUUCGAGCCAGGUUUUAUGCAUAGAUGUUAUAUGCACGAGUAGAACACAAGUGAGUUGUGGGAUACUAGUCAUACUGCUAACCAACAUGUCAUACUUUGGUUCGGCGGUAUUGUUGGAUGAAGCGGCUCGGACCGACAUUACGCGUACGCUUACCUGAGACUGGUUCUACUGACGUGCUUUGCACACAGGUGGCUGGCGGGUGUUAGUUUCUCCAACUUUAGUUGAACCAAGUGUGGCUACGCCCGGUCCUUGCGAAGAUUAAAACAACACUAACUUGAUAAACUAUCGUUGUGGCUUUCAUGCGUAGGUAAGAACGGUUCUUGCUCAGCCCGUAGCAGCCACGUAAAACUUGCAACAACAAUGUAGAGGAUGUCUAAGUUGUUUUUGUUGGGCAUGUUGUGAUGUGAUAUGAUGAAGACGUGAUGCUAUAUUUUGUUGUAUGAGAUGAUCAUGUUUUGUAACCGAGUUAUCGGCAACUGGCAGGAGCCAUAUGGUCGUUGCUUUAUUGUAUGCAAUGCAAUCGUCAUGUAAUUGCUUUACUUUAUCACUAAGCAGUAGCGAUAGUCAUUGAAGCAAUAAUUGGCGAGACGACAACGAUGCUACGAUGGAGAUCAAGGUGUCGCGCCGGUGACGAUGGUGAUCAUAACGGUGCUUCGGAGAUGGAGAUCACAAGCACAAGAUGAUGAUGGCCAUAUCAUAUCACUUAUAUUGAUUGCAUGUGAUGUUUAUUCUGUAUGCAUCUUAUUCUGCUUUGUUUGACGAUAGCAUUAUAAGAUGAUCUCUCACUAAAUUUCAAGGUAAAAGUGUUCUCCCUGAGUAUGCACCGUUGCUAAAGUUCGUCGUGCUGAGACACCACGUGAUGAUCGGGUGUGAUAAGCUCUACGUUCAUCUACAACAGGUGCAAGCCAGUUUUGCACACGUAGAAUACUCGGGUGAAACUUGGAGCCUAGCAUAUGCAGAUAUGGCCUCAGAACACUGAGACCGAAAGGUCGAGUAUGAAUCAUAUAGUAGAUAUGAUCAACAUAGUGAUGUUCACCAUUGAAAACUACUCCAUCUCACGUGAUGAUCGGACAUGGUUUAGUUGAUAUGGAUCACGUGAUCACUUAGAUGAUUAGAGGGAUGUCUAUCUAAGUGGGAGUUCUUAAGUAAUAUGAUUAAUUGAACUUAAAUUUAUCAUGAACUUAGUCCUGGUAGUAUUAGCAUAUCUAUGUUGUAGAUCAAUAGCUCGCGUUUAGCUCCCCUAUUUUAUUUUUGAUAUGUUCCUAGAGAAAAAUAAGU